AUUGAACGCUGGCGGAAUGCUUUACACAUGCAAGUCGAACGGCAGCACGGACUUCGGUCUGGUGGCGAGUGGCGAACGGGUGAGUAAUGUAUCGGAACGUGCCCAGUCGUGGGGGAUAACGUAGUGAAAAUUACGCUAAUACCGCAUACGAUCUAUGGAUGAAAGCGGGGGAUCGCAAGACCUCGCGCGAUUGGAGCGGCCGAGAUCAGAUUAGGUAGUUGGUGGGGUAAAGGCCCACCAAGCCAACGAUCUGUAGCUGGUCUGAGAGGACGACCCGCCAAACUGGAACUGAGACACGGUCCAGACUCCUACGGGAGGCAGCAGUGGGGAAUUUUGGACAAUGGGCGAAAGCCUGAUCCAGCCAUUCCGCGUGCAGGAUGAAGGCCCUCGGGUUGUAAACUGCUUUUGUACAGAACGAAAAGGUUUCUACUAAUACUAGGAGCUCAUGACGGUACUGUAAGAAUAAGCACCGGCUAACUACGUGCCAGCCGCCGCAGUAA
rnacentral:rRNA from 1 species